GUAGCUUUUCAGCCUUUUGGCUAAGAUCAAGUGUGGUACCUGUUCUUAUCCGUUUAAUAUCUGAUUUUUCCUCUAUCCAGUAAGAAAAUAAUAACUUAAUGGAGGAAUAUCACAAGAUAUUAAGCUAGAAAAAUUAUU
ensembl:snRNA U2 U2 spliceosomal RNA